rnacentral:rRNA from 1 species
ACGUUAGCGGCGGACGGGUGAGUAACACGUGGGUAACCUACCUAUAAGACUGGGAUAACUUGGGAAACCGGAGCUAAUACCAGAUAAUAUUUCGAACCGCAUGGUUCGAUAGUGAAAGGUGGUUUUGCUAUCACUUAUAGAUGGACCCGCGCCGUAUUAGCUAGUUGGUAAGGUAACGGCUUACCAAGGCGACGAUACGUAGCCGACCUGAGAGGGUGAUCGGCCACACUGGAACUGAGACACGGUCCAGACUCCUACGGGAGGCAGCAGCA